rnacentral:rRNA from 1 species
UUCGUAGGGGGCAAGCGUUGUCCGGAAUCAUUGGGCGUAAAGAGCGUGUAGGCGGUCCGGUAAGUCAGCUGUGAAAGUCAAGGGCUCAACCCUUGAAAGCCGGUUGAUACUGUCGGGCUAGAGUCCGGAAGAGGCGGGUGGAAUUCCCGGUGUAGCGGUGAAAUGCGCAGAUAUCGGGAGGAACACCAAUGGCGAAGGCAGCUCGCUGGGACGGUACUGACGCUGAGACGCGAAAGCGUGGGGAGCAAACAGG